rnacentral:tRNA from 1 species
GGGAGUAUAGAUCAAGUGGUAGAGCACAUGCUUAGCAUGCACAAGGUCCUGGGUUCAAUCCCCAGUACCUCCC